rnacentral:rRNA from 1 species
GACGUAGGGCGCGAGCGUUGUCCGGAUUUAUUGGGCGUAAAGAGCUCGUAGGCGGUGUGUCGCGUCGGCCGUGAAAACCUGCAGCUUAACUGUGGGCUUGCGGUCGAUACGGGCAUCACUGGAGUUCGGCAGGGGAGACUGGAAUUCCUGGUGUAGCGGUGAAAUGCGCAGAUAUCAGGAGGAACAUCAGUGGCGAAGGCGGCCUUCUGGUCCAGUACUGACACUCAAGUGCGAAAGCGUGGGGAGCAAACAGG